UCCCUGGUGGUCCAGUGGUUAGGACUCUGUGCUACCACUGCAAGGGGCACGGGUUCGAUCCCUGGUCAGGGAA